GACGAACGCUGGCGGCGUGCUUAACACAUGCAAGUCGAACGAUGAAGCUAGGGCUUGCUCUGGUGGAUUAGUGGCGAACGGGUGAGUAACACGUGAGUAACCUGCCCCGAACUCUGGGAUAACUGCUGGAAACGGUAGCUAAUACUGGAUAUGACCAAUGAAGGCAUCUUCUGUUGGUGGAAAGAAUUUCGGUUCGGGAUGGACUCGCGGCCUAUCAGCUUGUUGGUGAGGUAACGGCUCACCAAGGCGACGACGGGUAGCCGGCCUGAGAGGGUGAUCGGCCACACUGGGACUGAGACACGGCCCAGACUCCUACGGGAGGCAGCAGUGGGGAAUAUUGCACAAUGGGCGCAAGCCUGAUGCAGCAACGCCGCGUGAGGGACGACGGCCUUCGGGUUGUAAACCUCUUUUAGUAGGGAAGAAGCGAAAGUGACGGUACCUGCAGAAAAAGCACCGGCUAACUACGUGCCAGCAGCCGCGGUAA
rnacentral:rRNA from 1 species